AUUGAACGCUGGCGGCAUGCUUUACACAUGCAAGUCGAACGGUAACAGGCCUUCGGGUGCUGACGAGUAGCGCACGGGUGAGUAAUGCAUCGGAACGUACCCAGAGGUGGGGGAUAACGCAGCGAAAGCUGUGCUAAUACCGCAUGUGAUCUGAGGAUGAAAGCGGGGGACCGAGCAGCAAUGUUUGGCCUCGCGCCUUUGGAGCGGCCGAUGUCGGAUUAGCUAGUUGGUGGGGUAAAGGCCUACCAAGGCGACGAUCCGUAGCUGGUCUGAGAGGACGACCAGCCACACUGGGACUGAGACACGGCCCAGACUCCUACGGGAGGCAGCAGUGGGGAAUUUUGGACAAUGGGCGCAAGCCUGAUCCAGCAAUGCCGCGUGCGGGAAGAAGGCCUUCGGGUUGUAAACCGCUUUUGGCAGGAACGAAACGGUGUCCGCUAAUACCGGGCGCUAAUGACGGUACCUGCAGAAUAAGCACCGGCUAACUACGUG
rnacentral:rRNA from 1 species